rnacentral:tRNA from 2 species
GCGCUUUUGUCCAAGUUGUCUGAUAUCGGCCCUUUCACGGCGAAAACACGGGUUCGAUUCCCGUAGGGCGCGCCA